rnacentral:rRNA from 1 species
AUCGAGCUGCGGACUCGUGGCCAACCUCCCACCCUUGUCUCUAUACACCUGUUGCUUUGGCGGGCCCACCGGGGCCACCUGGUCGCCGGGGGACAUCUGUCCCCGGGCCCGCGCCCGCCGAAGCGCUCUGUGAACCCUGAUGAAGAUGGGCUGUCUGAGUACUAUGAAAAUUGUCAAAACUUUCAACAAUGGAUCUCUUGGUUCCGGCAUCGAUGAAGAACGCAGCGAAAUGCGAUAAGUAAUGUGAAUUGCAGAAUUCCGUGAAUCAUCGAAUCUUUGAACGCACAUUGCGCCCCCUGGCAUUCCGGGGGGCAUGCCUGUCCGAGCGUCAUUUCUGCCCUCAAGCACGGCUUGUGUGUUGGGUGCGGUCCCCCCGGGGACCUGCCCGAAAGGCAGCGGCGACGUCCGUCUGGUCCUCGAGCGUAUGGGGCUUUGUCACUCGCUCGGGAAGGACUGGCGGGGGUUGGUCACCACCAAAAUUUUACCACGGUUGACCUCGGAUCAGGUAGGAGUUACCCGCUGAACUUAAGCAUAUCAAAGCCCGGAGGAA